UACGUAGGGGGCGAGCGUUGUCCGGAGUUACUGGGCGUAAAGGGCAUGCAGGCGGUCGGACGCGUUUCGGGUGACAGCGGGUGGCUUAACUACCCGAGUGGUCGAAAGACGGUUUGACUUGAGGACGCGAGAGGGACACGGAAUUCCGGGUGGAGUGGGUGAAAUGCGUAGAGAUCCGGAGGAACACCGAAGGCGAAGGCAGUGUCCUGGCGCGUAACUGACGCUGAGGUGCGAAAGCCAGGGGAGCGAACGGG
rnacentral:rRNA from 1 species